rnacentral:lncRNA from 1 species
GGUUUUUAGUUUUAGGUUUAGGUAGUUUUAGGUAGUUGAGUUUUUAGUUUUAGUUUUAGGUAGUUUUAGGUAGUUUAGUUUUAUAGGUUCAAGUAGAGUAUUUUUUAUCUUUAAUGUGCCUAUUUAAUAUAUUCCUGAUUUCUAACUUUGUGAAUAUAUGAAAUCCACUUAUGACAGCUGUCUUCAUCUACUAAUUCUAUCUUCUGUAUCAUUUUGGUUUGGUUUAGAUUCAUUUUUUCCUUAUUCUGGGUCUAAAUAUUUUGUUCAAGUCUGUAGCUUAUUGUUUCACUCGUUUAACAAUGUUAUUCAAAUAGCAGAAAUUGUUAACUUUCCUGAAGUCCAACUUAUCUUUUUCAUUUAUGGUUCAGGUUUCUUUCCCUCAUAUAUAAAAUCUUUUACUAAGCCUCAGGUCACAAAGAUUUUAUAUUUUCUUCAAGAACUUGUAGAGUGUUAGAUUUUUAUUUUAUUAGCAGUUUAAAAUUAGUAUUUGUAUAUAGUAAAAUAUAGAUAAAGGUAUUUAUUUACUUGUUUCUGGCAUUAUGUAUUAAAAAGAGUAUUCUCUUUCCAUUGGAUUGUCUUUGACCCUUUGUCAAAAAUUUUUGUCUAUUUUUGGGCUUUCUAUUUUGUUCCAUUAAUCUUUCAGUCUAACCUACCAUCACUAUCACACUGUUUUAAUACUGUGGCUUUCCCUCCUCAUCAAAUACAUUGAAUUGAUGAUUUAAAAAAUAUAGUGAUAUGGUAAAUCAUACUGAUUUUAGAAUGUUGAACCAACCUUUUAUUCUUGGAAUAAACCUGAUUUGGUCAUGAUGUAUCAUUCUGUUUACAUAUUAUUCAACUCAAUUUGUUAAUAUUUUAUUAUGGAUUUUUUUGUGUUUAUAAGAGUUACUGGUCUGUAGUUCUCUGCUCUUACAAUGGCACUGAUUUUGGUAUCAACAAAAUGCUGACCUCAUAAAAUGUGUGGGAAAGUAUUCCUUCAUUUUCUAUUUCCUAAAAGAAAUUGUUUAGGACUGGCAUGAUUUCUUCCUUAAAUGUUGGUCGAACAUGCCAGUGAUGCCAUCUGUGCUGAGUGUUUUAAAGAAAAGGAAGGUAUUUUAACUACACAUCAACUUCUUUAAUAGACAUAAAACCAUGCAGGCUGGGGUGCCUGGGUGGCUCAGUGGUUGAGCAUCUGCCUUUAGCUCAGUUCGUGAUCCUGGAGUCUGGGGAUUGAGUCUUGCAUCAGGCUCUCCGGGAGACUGCUUCUCCCUCUGCCUAUGUCUUUGUCUCUCUGCGUCUCUCAUGAAUAAAUAAAUACACUCUUAAAAAAUAUAAAAAUAAAUAAAAUAAAACUAUGCCAGUUAUUUCAUCUUCACUGAAUUUUUGUAGUUGUUCAAUGAUUUUUUCCAUUUCAUUUAGGUUAUCAUCUUUAUUGACAAAGUUAUUUACUUAUCUCUUAUUAUUCAUAUAGUAUCUGUCAGAUCUUUAGUACUGUUCUUUCUUAGUUGUGAUAAUUUGUGUCUUCUCACUUUUUUUCUUGUUCAGUCUGCCUAGAUGUUUAUCAAUUUUAGUAUGUUUUGCAAAGAACCAACUUUUUGGCAUAGUGAUUUUCCCCACGGUUUUCAGUUUCAUUGGUUUAUGCUUUUAUCUUUAUUAUUUUCUUACUUUCUUCUGUUUUGACUUUGUUUUCUUAAGACAUUAUUGAUUCAAAACUUUUGGUUUCUAAAAUAAGGCAUUAAAUCUGAUUUCUCUGUAGGUACUUCUUUAGCUUUAUCUUACAUAGUGCAUUUUCAUUGUCAUUUAAUUCAAAAUAUUUUCUAAUUUCACUGUGACUGCUUAACUUCCCACAUUCUUGUUAUUGAUGUUUAGUUCAGUUUGUAGUCAGAGAAUAUAUUUUGUCUCACCUCAAUACUUUAAUUUUUUUAAGGCCAGAAAGUAAUCUAUUUUUGUGAAUCUUCCAAGUAUUUUCAAAAAGAAUCUGUAUUUUACGCUUGGAAGGUGGAACAUUCCUCUUAGUUUUAUUUUCCUGAAUGGCCAUUAACUUUUUAAAAAUAAAACUUCACAAAGAGAAAGAAUAGGUCACAUAGAUUGGAUUCAGAAAUCUGAUGGUUUGGGAUGCCUAGGUGGCUCAGUGGUUGAGCGUUUGCCUUUGGCUUAGGGUGUGAUCCCGGAGUCCCGGGAUCAAGUCCCACAUCGGGCUUCCUGUGUGGAGUCUGCUUCUCUCUCUGCCUAUGUCUCUGCCUCUCUCUCUCUCUCUCUCUCUCUCUCUCUGUGGCUCUCAUGAAUAAAUAAAAUAUUAAAAAAAAAAAGAAAUCUGAUGGUUCAAUACAUGAAUCUGAAAAAUAAAAAAGUAUUUUAUAAAAGUUAUGGUAGUAAGUACUUUUCAAUAUGAACACAACAAAGUACAUGUAUAUACACUUAAUAAUGACAGAAGAGACCAUGUACCAGCAAAUAAAUGCAGAUAAUGAAUGUUAUUUCUCCAUAUGCUUACCUUCUAAUCUGCUCCUAGUAUGAUUCAAUGACCCACUGUCUAUACUCUGGCCACAGAGGUUUUUAGUUCUUCCAAGCAGCCAAAUUUCUUGUUGUCUUAAAGUUUACUGAAUAUAUUUCUCUACAUGGAAAAUAUUUUCUCCCUCUUUUUGUCUAAUUUCUCUUCAAUUUUCAGCAUUCACCUUGAAGUCACUUUCUUCAGGAAGCCUUUUCUGACAUGAUCAGUUACUCCUGGUUUACAUUUUCAUGGCACCCUGUAUGUUUCUCUCACAGAAUUUACUAUGAUUGAAAUGAAAAAUAUAAGGGCAGUUUAGGGCAGAUUAUCAAAAAUGUUAAGGUUUCUUAAAGGGCUCAAAAUCAUUGACUCAAAAAAGUUACCAAAUUAAGACAAGGAUCAGCCAAGUAAGCUGACUUAGUGAACUUAAACCUAGUUAAUGAAAGGCAUUUCUCUUUUGAAGACAUCUCUGAAAGCAGAAUUAUAUACCUCCAGAGGAAUUUUAAAAGCAUCUGACUUCCAUAUUAAAUAUCUUACACAUCCAAGAAAAUAUAAUGUAUAAAAUGUUGCACAUAGCAGGGCACACAAAACCAACCAAAAUGAGAAAUCCCAUUUUAUUGUCUUCAAAUAUCCAGACAAAUAGAUAAGGUGUCUGCUUCUCUAAGACAUACCUUGCUUUAGAAAGGAAAAUCCAUACACAAAUAGCAAGUUGGGUUCAAACUUUUUUUUCCAAUUGAAUACAAAAAUUAAUACUUUAGAGUCUUUUAGUUUCUUGUAAAUUUUUAGGCAAAGAAUUUGGGUGAAGAGACUGAGAGGAAAAGCUUUGUCUUUCAUGAAUAUUUGGAACCUUAAUUUCUUUUAAAUAGCACUUGACAAUAUUACCAGGGAGCACUUAUAGGAAAAUAUACAGAGCUUCCUUGGCAGUGGGGUUGGAAGAGCUGCUUUCCCCAUGUCUUUCAGACUCACUUUGUAAAUUAUGUGAAACACUUUUAGACAGACACUGGCACUCAUAAAUUAUACAGCUCAUUUGCAUAUUCCAGUCAUGAGACAUUAUGCAAAGUGACAUGAUUUGCAUAAUGGAUUCCUCUUGUCGCUUCACUUGCUGCAUGCUUUUAAAAAACAAAAUGAAAUAAAAUGAAAGCAUGAAAAGGUGAAAGCAUCGUUUCCAGCUUCGCCUGUCUCCUUCCCAACUACAGUAUCAACUGCUUUCAUUUUCUACAGGGGAAGGGGUGAAGGGGACAGAAAGCAAAAAUCUACAAACAUACAAACAAAAAGAGCUUUCACAUGAAUUUUGUUCUUAAUUACAAUGUACCUACUUUCCUGGUGAAAUCUUCCAUCAUAAAUAACUCAUCUGAGUCAAGAGGAAUGAGAACAAAUUAAAACACUAAAUACAGAGUAAGAAACUUUAUGGAACUUUUUCCUUAAAAAAUUUUUUUUCUUUAGGGGUGAUAUUUAGGGAAAGGGUAGCCUUCCUCCUUGUAAGUGAAAAGAGGCUUCAAGGAUUUUCUUCUUAUUGGAAAAAAAGCAUAUUAAGGAUGAGAUAAAUGGGCUAGGGGAGGGAUUCCCCCCACCCCCCCAAGAACUUCUGAAGGGUUUUCCUGUUUUGAAAGAUGGAGGGAGAAGAAAGACAGAGUGUGCUUUGAUUAUUUAACAAAAUAUAGAAUGUCUAUAUAUACUGUAAGGAUGAGGCAGUACCAUGUCGACUUCUAUCGGCUCUACUCCAAUAAGCAGGCAACGUUCCCUCAGCAGUUGCCAGUUUUGCUGCGGGCUUUCCCUGCCCCCCUGCACCAGUGCGAAAGGCAGAGUGUGCCAAGCGGCUGGCGUCUGUACCCUGUGGGAAAAGUUAACUGUAAUUCUUCGGCUUUUAAAAUCAAUUAACCCGUGUG